CAGCCGCCGCGGUAAAACAGAGGGUGCGAGCGUUAAUCGGAUUUACUGGGCGUAAAGCGUGCGUAGGCGGCUAAUUGAGUCGGAUGUGAAAUCCCCGAGCUUAACUUAGGAAUUGCAUUCGAUACUGGGAAGCUAGAGUAUGGGAGAGGAUGGUAGAAUUCCAGGUGUAGCGGUGAAAUGCGUAGAGAUCUGGAGGAAUACCGAUGGCGAAGGCAGCCAUCUGGCCUAAUUCUGACGCUGAGGUACGAAAGCAUGGGGAGCAAACAGGAUUAGAUACCCCCGUAGUCCCUGUCUCUUAUAC
rnacentral:rRNA from 1 species